rnacentral:tRNA from 1 species
GCCCGGGUGGCGGAAUUGGCAGACGCGCUAGCUUGAGGGGCUAGUAGGACUAAACUCCUGUGCUGGUUCGACUCCAGUCCCGGGCA